rnacentral:rRNA from 1 species
GUGCAUGAGUGCAUGAAGUUGGAAUCGCUAGUAAUCGCAGAUCAGCAUGCUGCGGUGAAUACGUUCCCGGGCCUUGUACACACCGCCCGUCACACCAUGGGAGUUGGUUUUACCCGAAGGUAGUGCGCUAACCGCAAGGAGGCAGCUAACCACGGUAGGGUCAGCGACUGGGGUGAAGUCGUAACAAGGUAGCCGUAGGGGAACCUGCGGCUGGAUCACCUCCUUU